GUCCCUGUAGCUUAAAUCAAAAGCAUGGCACUGAAGAUGCCAAGAUGGCCCCCAUACCCGCCCAUGGAC
rnacentral:tRNA from 1 species